UACGGAGGGUGCAAGCGUUAUCCGGAAUCACUGGGCGUAAAGGGCGCGUAGGUGGUCUGUUAAGUCUGGCGUUAAAGCCUGGGGCUCAACCCCAGAUCAGCGUUGGAUACUGGCAGGCUAGACGGUUGGAGAGGCGAGUGGAAUUACCAGUGUAGCGGUGGAAUGCGUAGAUACUGGUAGGAACACCCAUUGCGAAGGCAGCUCGCUGGACAACACGUGACACUGAGGCGCGAAAGUGUGGGGAGCAAACCGGAUUAGAUACU
rnacentral:rRNA from 1 species